rnacentral:lncRNA from 1 species
UCUUUUUUUUUUUUCUUUUUUUGAGGUUUCAGUAUUUUAUUCAAGUUUUAUUUUAAGUGAUGUUAAUUACAGCAUUUGAAGGGGAGGAGCUAAUUCCACACAAAAUGGAAGACUCUAUAAUGUACCCAUUAAACUGCUAAAAAUAGUGGUGAGGCCACGAGAGGAGUCAGCUGAGAUCCCUAGUGUUGUCAGGGUGUGACCACAAUCACCCGCCCAGCUCUGAGCCGGAGAACCUGGAAGCUAUUUCAUACUCUGGUGCAAUGGCAAAAAAAAAAAGGAAUUAAAAAAAAAUAGAAGAAAGGAAGAAAACCACACCACAACACAAGGAAGAAUUAAGUCCUGAAUGACUGGCUUCAUCAUGCCCACCCUCUCCACCCUAAAAUGGCACAAAAGAAAUUGCUAACUACACCCUAAAGACUACUUUUGGUUUAAAACAGGUAACUGAUGGGCUAGGAUGGGAACAGGGCACAAUGGGAACAGGGCCCAAUUAGACUGGAGUUGUUCACUUUGGCCGAAAAGCAGGCAUCAGGGUCGACCUGAUACUUGGCUGCUAUUCCAAAGCGAGUGUUACUGUUUCCUGCGGUCCAGGCGAGAUUGACAGCAGUCUCCAACUUCUUGUUCACCUUCUGGUAAAUGGAGCCACCAAACUCCGUCCCAUCAUUCACAUUAGUAUGAAGCUGGAAUUCGUCCGUCUUGUAGCCAACUGCAAAGUUGCUCUGGGUCACUCGGGACUUCGAGGUCUCAAAAUUCAUCUGGUAGCCAGCCAGCCAACCCUCUAGCCAAGCACCAGAGCGCCCCGGAUUGAGGGCCCAGCGAUGUCAAAGUCCACAUCACAGCCCAGGUUGAUAUGUUCCCUCUUGUACCCUGUCUUGAUUUUAGCAUUUUUUUCCCCAGUGUUAGGCGAGAAAGAUGAAUCAAAGGUCAGCUUCAGUCCACGAGCAAGCUGGUCUUCCACGGUGAUCUCAGUGCCCAGGGUGUUGUCUGUGUUCCACUUCUCAGUAAACGUCAGCCCAUACUCGGUCCAUCUGUACUUGGUUUCCAGACUGCCGUUCACUUUGGUGGUCUCCGUGUUGGCAGAACCUGAGCUAGUAAAUUCCAAUCCAUUCUCGGACUUCGUUUUCAAAUCAAGUUUUAUUAAGCCAAAGCCGUAGCCCUUGGUGAAGACAUCCCUGGCGGACUUGCCAAGAUCAGCAUAUGUGGGAGGCACAGCCAUGUUCUCGGAGGCGGUGACGGCGGGAGCAGCGGCAGCUACGGCGG